GACGAACGCUGGCGGCGUGCUUAACACACGCAAGUCGAACGGAAAGGCCCUGCUUUUGUGGGGUGCUCGAGUGGCGAACGGGUGAGUAACACGUGAGUAACCUGCCCUUGACUUUGGGAUAACUUCAGGAAACUGGGGCUAAUACCGGAUAGGAGCUCCUGCUGCGUGGUGGGGGUUGGAAAGUUUCGGCGGUUGGGGAUGGACUCGCGGCUUAUCAGCUUGUUGGUGGGGUAGUGGCUUACCAAGGCUUUGACGGGUAGCCGGCCUGAGAGGGUGACCGGCCACAUUGGGACUGAGAUACGGCCCAGACUCCUACGGGAGGCAGCAGUGGGGAAUAUUGCACAAUGGGCGGAAGCCUGAUGCAGCAACGCCGCGUGCGGGAUGACGGCCUUCGGGUUGUAAACCGCUUUCGCCUGUGACGAAGCGUGAGUGACGGUAAUGGGUAAAGAAGCACCGGCUAACUACGUG
rnacentral:rRNA from 1 species